rnacentral:rRNA from 1 species
CAGUAGCCGCGGUAAUACGUAGGUGGCAAGCGUUGUCCGGAUUUAUUGGGCGUAAAGCGAGCGCAGGCGGUCAAUUAAGUCUGAUGUGAAAGCCCACGGCUCAACCGUGGAGGGUCAUUGGAAACUGGUAAACUUGAGUGCAGGAGAGAAGAGUGGAAUUCCUAGUGUAGCGGUGAAAUGCGUAGAUAUAUGGAGGGACACCAGUGGCGAAGGCGACUCUCUGGUCUGUAACUGACGCUGAGGCUCGAAAGCGUGGGUAGCAAACAGGAUUAGAUACCCCUGUAGUCCCUGUCUCUUAUAC